CGCCUCUUGCGGAUGUAAUCGGCGGUUCUGUUCGUACCGGAUGUUCCAAGCAUAGACUUUGGCUGCCGAGUAGUUCCUGCUUCUUUUAGCCCGCUAGCAAGAUGGGUAUAUCCCGGGAUCACUGGCAUAAGCGACGUGCUACUGGAGGCAAAAGGAAGCCUCUGCGUAAGAAGAGGAAGUUCGAGUUAGGCCGCCCUGCUGCCAAUACCAAACUUGGCCCUCAGCGCAUACACACUGUUCGUACUCGUGGAGGCAACAAGAAAUUUAGAGCUCUGCGUUUGGACACGGGUAACUUCUCGUGGGGAUCGGAGUGUGCGACUCGCAAAACCCGUAUUAUCGACGUUGUGUACAAUGCUUCCAACAACGAACUUGUGCGUACGAAAACUCUUGUCAAGAAUGCCAUUGUUACUAUCGAUGCAACUCCAUUCCGUCAAUGGUAUGAAUCACACUACGUGCUGCCUCUGGGACGUAAACGAGGAGCUAAGCUGACCGAAGCUGAAGAGGAAAUCUUGAAUAAGAAGAGAUCUAAAAAGACAGAGGCAAAGUACAAGGCAAGACAACGCUUUGCCAAAGUAGAACCUGCACUUGAGGAGCAAUUUGCCACUGGUAGAGUACUUGGUAAGCCAGCUUGAAUUUUUGUUUGUUUUCUGCAAGUAUAAUAAGUAGAUAGUUGAUCCAAAUAAGCAAUAUUUACUUUUGACUUUGAAGUUUACUCUUACCUUAAUAAAUAAUUAAUAUGAUGAUUACCCUUACCUACUCUGAGUAUUAUGAUGACUCAUUUUCCACAGCGUUCUGACGACAAUUUUAACACAUACUUGGUUGAUAUAAAAAUUUUCAGAAUUCAUUAACUAAAUAAAUACGUUUACAGCUUGUGUCGCUAGCAGACCUGGACAGUGUGGCAGAGCGGACGGAUAUAUUU